CCUACGUGAGGCAGCAGUGGGGGAUAUUGCACAAUGGGGGAAACCCUGAUGCAGCGACGCCGCGUGAGUGAAGAAGUAUUUCGGUAUGUAAAGCUCUAUCAGCAGGGAAGAACAAAGACGGUACCGGACUAAGAAGCCCCGGCGAACUACGUGCCAGCAGCCGCGGUAAAACGUAGGGUGCAGGCGUUAUCCGGAUUUACUGGGUGUAAAGGGAGCGUAGACGGCAGAACAAGUCGGAAGUGAAAUACCCGGGCUAAACCUGGGAACUGCUUUGGAAACUGUGUGGCUGGAGUGCUGGAGAGGUAAGUGGAAUUCCUAGUGUAGCGGUGAAAUGCGUAGAUAUUAGGAGGAACACCAGUGGCGAAGGCGGCUUACUGGACAGUAACUGACGUUGAGGCUCGAAAGCGUGGGGAGCAAACAGGAUUAGAUACCCGGGUAGUC
rnacentral:rRNA from 1 species